rnacentral:lncRNA from 1 species
GGGGUAAAUUUUCUAUAUUUCGGACAAAAUCUUUUGUUCAGCAAAAAAAGAAAAAUUUGAUGAUCCAGUCAUUUUAGAUCGGCAACAAUUAAGAUUGUGUAAACGUUGAAAUGUUAAUUUUGUGUAUGUACGUUUCGCUGUUAGUUACAGUAAACCAAAGACACAUUAUGCAUCGGGGCCAUUAAAAAAUAAAAAUAAAA